rnacentral:rRNA from 1 species
GACGAACGCUGGCGGCGUGCUUAACACAUGCAAGUCGAACGGUGAAGCGCCUUCCUUUUUGGUGGGUGUGGAUGAGUGGCGAACGGGUGAGUAACACGUGAGUAACCUGCCCCCUUCUUCUGGAUAACCGCAUGAAAGUGUGGCUAAUACGGGAUAUUCUGGGUCUGUCGCAUGAUGGGUCUGGGAAAGAUAUUGUUUCGGUGGGGGAUGGGCUCGCGGCCUAUCAGCUUGUUGGUGGGGUGAUGGCCUACCAAGGCGGUGACGGGUGGCCGGCCUGAGAGGGUGGACGGUCACACUGGGACUGAGACACGGCCCAGACUCCUACGGGAGGCAGCAGUGGGGAAUAUUGCACAAUGGGCGCAAGCCUGAUGCAGCGACGCCGCGUGAGGGAUGGAGGCCUUCGGGUUGUGAACCUCUUUCGCCAGUGAAGUAGGCCUGCCUCGUUUGUGGGUGGGUUGACGGUAGCUGGAGAAGAAGCGCCGGCUAACUACGUG